rnacentral:rRNA from 1 species
CAGCAGCCGCGGUAAUACGUAGGUGGCAAGCGUUGUCCGGAAUUAUUGGGCGUAAAGGGCUCGCAGGCGGUUUCUUAAGUCUGAUGUGAAAGCCCCCGGCUCAACCGGGGAGGGUCAUUGGAAACUGGGAGACUUGAGUGCAGAAGAGGAGAGUGGAAUUCCACGUGUAGCGGUGAAAUGCGUAGAGAUGUGGAGGAACACCAGUGGCGAAGGCGACUCUCUGGUCUGUAACUGACGCUGAGGCUCGAAAGCGUGGGGAGCAAACAGGAUUAGAUACCCGAGUAGUCCCUGUCUCUUAUAC